CUUGGAGAGAGAUCACAUCAGCUGACACCAGCUUAUGCCGAAAUAACAGAGCAGCAUCACUGACACCGCCUGAACCAGCACCGAUCCAGAAACAGCUGUAGAACCUGAGUAUCUCCAUCCUGCUGAGAAGUCCAGAGCAUCACAACACCAAGAGAAAUACAAGAUGCCUACCGUUCCUCGAGAUUUCGAAAAAGACAAGAACAUAGAAAAGACACUGCAUGGCAAUAAAGACACUGUCUAUCAACAUGACAGAAAUGAUGUACCAUUUGCCAUUACUUUCUAUAGCACACAUGUAAGAGAAUGGCUGGCUGCAAUGAAGGAAAAGUACCCAGAAUUGGAUGAAGUUACAACAGACAAUAAAGUCAGACUCAAGUCGCCUAUCAAGAACGGCGGUACCAUAACUUUAUAUCCUAGUGUAACAGUUGUGGUACAAGGCAAAGACCUGAGGAAGAGGUUUCUGGAAGAUUUUGAAGAAAUGAAACGACAGGCCCAUACAGACGACUUACAAGCAGCAAUGGAUAAUUUGGUAUUAGAAAAUGAGCCUGAGGGAGGUAACCCAACCCACUGAAAAAGAUGAAACAAAAAAAUAAGAUGGAUCAUUAUAAAUAACUGAUUUCUAAGCUUUAUGUGUAUUGGUAAUGUAUCCUCUGAGUGUUAUGACGCUGCAGGCCAUGGAGGAGGUGAGGAGCAGUCUUGUACCCUAUAAUAAACUGAAAAUGAAAUGCUUUUGAGAAAUUAUUAGAAGAAUCAGUUUCUUACACAAUAAAAGCUUGUUUAUUGUU